rnacentral:rRNA from 1 species
GACGAACGCUGGCGGCGUGCUUAACACAUGCAAGUCGAACGGCAAGGCCCUGCUUUUGUGGGGUGCUCGAGUGGCGAACGGGUGAGUAACACGUGAGUAACCUGCCCUUGACUUUGGGAUAACUUCAGGAAACUGGGGCUAAUACCGGCUAGGAGCUCCUGCUGCAUGGUGGGGGUUGGAAAGUUUCGGCGGUUGGGGAUGGACUCGCGGCUUAUCAGCUUGUUGGUGGGGUAGUGGCUUACCAAGGCUUUGACGGGUAGCCGGCCUGGGAGGGUGACCGGCCACAGUGGGACUGAGAUACGGCCCAGACUCCUACGGGAGGCAGCAGUGGGGAAUAUUGCACAAUGGUCGGAAGCCUGAUGCAGCAACGCCGCGUGCGGGAUGACGGCCUUCGGGUUGUAAACCGCUUUCGCCUGUGACGAAGCGUGAGUGACGGUAAUGGGUAAAGAAGCACCGGCUAACUACGUG